GUACAAAAUAUGCUGAAUCCUUGUGAUUUAUGACGAGGUACGGAGGAACCAAGAAAAGGGGGUUAAUCCAUUUUAUAUGGUAGGGUGAUCCUAUUACCCGAACCCGGCAGCUAACUUCGGAAGCACAGUAUAGGAGGAAUA
rnacentral:sRNA from 2 species